rnacentral:lncRNA from 1 species
CCGGAGAUCGAGGCCAACGGAUGCCGUACUCUGUCCUCGCCGGGUGCUCAGUGAGGACCCAGAGCUGGGCAGGGACCCUGGGAGGCCCCUGAGCAAGACUUGGAGGGACGCCCUUGUGCCCCCUGAGCACGUGGGGAAGGCGCUGUCCUGGGCCCUGCACCGCUCUGUGUGUUCAUUGCACGAGUGUGUUAAGCACCUACUAUGUGCACAUGGCCGAGCCAAGCGCAGGGAACGGUAAACCAAGGGAGAACGGCCUUCCCGUGGGGAGCAGUGCAGAGGCUGGCGGGGAGGGCUCAGGUUUCAGCUGAGGUCUAAGGACGGAGGGCAGGGAACCGCCUGAGCCCCACCUGGGAGGGGGAGCUCGGUGCCGGGGAGCAGUGCCAGGACCUGCGAUGGGAGAGGUGUGCAGCCCCGAGGGGUCACUGAUGAGGCAGACGGGUCAGUUGGGUUGACACUCAGAGGGUCCUCAGGGGCAGACGCUGAGACGGGGUUUGGGGUUUGGGGUGCAGAGUGAGUACUGGUGAUCAGCACCUGGGAAGGGGUGGGGAGGGUGCAGGGCCGGGCAGGGACUGUAGGGGCGGCCUGCGUUGGGCUUGGCUGGCACAGCCUUUGUGGCUUGCUUGGACCCAUAUGCAGCCGCCCAGGGACGGGAGACCCUGGUGAGGUGUCUGUGGCCCAAGCCCACCCUGAAGGAGCCGUGGGGCCGACUGCCGACCACGCCUGACAGCACGGCCUUUCAGGUCACCCGCUUCCCUCUAGGCCGGCCUGACCCAGCUCACCUCAUUCUCAACCUCACCAGUCAACACCGGUCAACAUCAGUCACAGAGCGUCUGAAAGGAGGAAUUUUCAUUUUCCUUUAAAGUGAAAAGUGCAGACGACGCUGGCCCACAUCCUUGUCGGGCAGAGGGGCUGCCGACUGGCCCCUGGCCGUGGCUCUUGCUGGGAGCCGUGUGGCCUGGGCUUGGACCCACAUCCACCUCUUGCUGGCUGCCUGCUCUUGCCAGUGGCUGAGCCUGGCUUCUCCCAUGACAGUGGCCGCAGACAGAGGGGACCCGUGCCACCAGGCAAGGUGUCUGGGGGCGAGGUGAGAGUUCUGCCAAAGCCGGAGCCAGGGUUGGACCCCCGGAGCUACUUGGUCGGCCCCUGGAGGGAGAGUGGUGUGUUCACACCAUGGCCCUGGUGGCCCAGCUCUGCCCAUCUUCAUCCCAGGUGGCAGCUGCUGCCCAGCUCUCUGGCCAGUGCCUCUUAGAUGGUGUCACCACCUGCAGAAGAAAACAGAAGUGCUGACUAAUAUUUGAUGAAGGCCUGCUAUGCCGGCGGCACCUGAUGUGGCAGGUGAAGUCAGGGGGGCAGCAGCCAAAGCUGCCUGUUCCUCAGUGUCCCUGCCCGUGAGACGGGCAUAGCUAACUCCUGUAGCCACCUUGAGGGUAAGAUGCUUCCUGCAGGUGCUUGGACCAGUAUCUGGCACGGGGCAGGUGCUCAGUGAAUGUUCCUUAUUAAUCCCUGUACCUUUCACUGUUGGAAGUAACUCAGGACAUUGGCUUGGUGGUUACACAAGCACUGUGGGAGAAGGUGGUGUAUCUGUUCACCCUGGGUCCCAGUGGCUGAGGCAGAGCCAGCCAUGCAGGAAGCAGGCGUCCAAUAUGUAUAUUGGAUGGAAGAUCGAAUUGCAUAAUAAAAUAUAUUAAAGAUUUCCAGAGUGGAGGGGUGAGGAGGUCAACAAACCCUCUCCCCAAAAUGUACCUGUAAAUCUAAACAAAAGUCAGAAACAACCAUGUCGGUGCUUUGGAAUGUAACCAAAGGCAAACAGCAAACCAAGGAGUGUUUAUUCAUCAAA